GAGGGACUUUUGGGUAAUCAAACCAAAGGAAGUUGGAGGCAAUAACAGGUCUGUGAUGCCCUUAGAUGUUCUGGGCCGCACGCGCGCUACACUGAUGCGUUCAACGAGUUUAAAACCUUGACCGAUAGGUCUGGGUAAUCUUGUGAAUGCGCAUCGUGCUAGGGAUAGAUUGUUGCAAUUUUCAAUCUUGAACGAGGAAUUCCUAGUAAAUGCAAGUCAUCAGCUUGCGUUGAUUACGUCCCUGCCCUUUGUACACACCGCCCGUCGCACCUACCGAUUGAAUGACUCGGUGAAGAGUUGGGACCGUGAAUCCGUUUGCUUCAUUGCGAAUGGAUUUGUGGGAACUUCUUUUAACCUCGCCAUUUAGAGGAAGGUGAAGUCGUAACAAGGUUUCCGUAGGUGAACCUGCGGAAGGAUCAUUACCACACCAAAAACUAUCCACGUGAACCACUUUGUAUUGGUUUUUUGUCGCCAUAUUCAAUGCUCCGUCACACGAGUGUUGGGUAUGUGUGGGCUAACCGAAGGCUUUUUUCCGCAUGGUUGAAAGCUGAUGUUUUUUUCACCCUUUACCUCAAUAGGAUUUUCGCAAGAACGAAAGUUUUUGCGUUCACUUCCACAAACUUUCAGCAGUGGAUGUCUAGGCUCGCACAUCGAUGAAGAACGCUGCGAACUGCGAUACGUAAUGCGAAUUGCAGGAUUCAGUGAGUCAUCGAAAUUUUGAACGCAUAUUGCACUUUCGGGUUAUGCCUGGAAGUAUGCCUGUAUCAGUGUCCAUAUCACAAACUUGCUCUUUCUUUUUUGUUAAGAAAGGUGCAGAUGUUGAGGUGUCUUUUCGAUCGUGAGAUUCGAAACGUCCCUUGAAACACAUACGAUACAAGGCUUUUCGUAUACAUGCUUUCGGUUUGUGUGCAUCUGUCAGUGCGAUCCUUCUGUUUGGUGUCUGGGACGUUGUUUCAGGUCCUUGCCAUGUUGGGUUCGACCGAUAUGCAGUCUUCAUUUGCGGUAUGUUUUGCUUCGGCUUUACACAUUAGCUUAUGGGAUGCAAAUUUGGUUGGCCUUUGUGGUUUGUACGUGAAUCAACAGAAAGGGCUUCAUGGGUUGGAAUCCUCGCUCUGCUAGUGUAUACAUGACUUGAACGCAUGGAAAAGUCGAGUUCGUGCAUUGGGAAAAGGAAGUGUGCUGGUUUCACCGCUGCUGUUUUCAUGGACUUGUUCGCAGGUGCAUGAUUUCAUUCGGCGGAGACACCAAGGCAUUUCUCUCAUUGGGACCUGAUAUCAGGCAAGAUUACCCGCUGAACUUAAGC
rnacentral:rRNA from 1 species